AGCAGCCGCGGUAAUUCCAGCUCCAAUAGCGUAUAUUAAAGUUGUUGCAGUUAAAAAGCUCGUAGUUGAAUUUCGGGGUUAGUAGGCUGGUCAUGCCUCUGGUAUGUACUGGUCUCACUGAUUCCUCCUUCCUUAUGAACCGUAAUGCCAUUAAUUUGGUGUUGCGGGAAAUUUGGACUGUUACUUUGAAAAAUUAGAGUGUUUAAAGCAAGCUAACGCUUGAAUACAUUAGCAUGGAAUAAUGAAAUAGGACGUUCGAUCUUAUUUUGUUGGUUUCUAGGAUUGACGUAAUGAUUAAUAGGGAUAGUUGGGGGCAUUAGUAUUCAAUUGUCAGAGGUGAAAUUCUUGGAUUUAUUGAAGACUAACUACUGCGAAAGCAUUUGCCAAGGAUGUUUUCAUUAAUCAAGAACGAAAGUUAGGGGAUCGAAGACGAUCAGAUACCGUCGUAGUCUUAACCAUAAACUAUGCCGACUAGGGAUCGGAUGAUGUUAAUUUU
rnacentral:rRNA from 1 species